UACGAAUGGAGCGAGCGUUGUUCGGAAUCAUUGGGCGUAAAGCGUAUGUAGGCGGACUAGAAAGUCGGGAGUGAAAUCCCAGGGCUCAACCCUGGAAUUGCUUCCGAAACUUCUAGUCUAGUGUCCCGGAGGGGUUGACGGAAUUCCUAGUGUAGAGGUGAAAUUCGCAGAUAUUAGGAGGAACACCAGUGGCGUAGGCG
rnacentral:rRNA from 1 species